GACGAACGCUGGCGGCGUGCUUAACACAUGCAAGUCGAACGGAAAGGCCCUGCUUUUGUGGGGUGCUCGAGUGGCGAACGGGUGAGUAACACGUGAGUAACCUGCCCUUGACUUUGGGAUAACUUCAGGAAACUGGGGCUCAUACCGGAUAGGAGCUCCUGCUGCAUGGUGGGGGUUGGAAAGUUUCGGCGGUUGGGGAUGGACUCGCGGCUUAUCAGCUUGUUGGUGGGGUAGUGGCUUACCAAGGCUUUGACGGGUAGCCGGCCUGAGAGCGUGACCGGCCACAUUGGGACUGCGAUACGGCGCAGACUCCUACGGGAGGCAGCAGUGGGGAAUAUGGCACAAUGGGCGGAAGCCUGAUGCAGCAACGCCGCGUGCGGGAUGACGGCCUUCGGGUUGUAAACCGCUUUCGCCUGUGACGAAGCGUGAGUGACGGUAAUGGGUAAAGAAGCACCGGCUAACUACGUG
rnacentral:rRNA from 1 species